UGACAAACCUUCAACAAGACCACACCAUUC
rnacentral:piRNA from 1 species